rnacentral:tRNA from 1 species
GGAGGGGUGGCCGAGCGGCUUAAGGCGGUGGUCUUGAAAACCACUGACGGGCAACCGUCCGGGGGUUCGAAUCCCUCCCCCUCCGCCA